rnacentral:rRNA from 1 species
CCUACGGGAGGCAGCAGUGGGGAAUCUUCCACAAUGGACGCAAGUCUGAUGGAGCAACGCCGCGUGAGUGAAGAAGGUUUUCGGAUCGUAAAGCUCUGUUGUUGGUGAAGAAGGAAAGAGGUAGUAACUGGCCUUUAUUUGACGGUAAUCAACCAGAAAGUCACGGCUAACUACGUGCCAGCAGCCGCGGUAAU